rnacentral:rRNA from 1 species
GGGACGUUUUCGGAUACUGGGCAUAAAGAGCGCGUAGGCGGUCUAAUAAGUCUGAUGUGAAAGCCCUGGACUCAAUCCAGGAAGUGCAUCGGAUACUGUUAGACUCGAGUAAAGGAGGGGACAGCGGAAUUCCUGGUGUAGAGGUGAAAUGCGUAGAUAUUGGGAAGAACACCGGUGGCGAAAGCGCCUUGCUGGGUCUGCACUGACACUGAGGGACGAAAGCUAGGGGAGCGAAAGGGAUUAGAUACCCCUGUAGUCCUAGCUGUAAACGAUGGGUACUAGGCGUUGUCCGUAUCGACCCGGGCAGCGCCGUAGCUAACGCAUUAAGUGCCCCGCCUGGGGAGUACGGCCGCAAGGCUAAAACUCAAAGGAAUUGACGGGGGCCCGCACAAGCGGCGGAGCAUGCGGAUUAAUUCGAUGCAACGCGAAGAACCUUACCAAGGCUUGACAUGGGCCGGACCGGGCUGGAAACAGUCCUUCCCCUUUGGGGCCGGUUCACAGGUGGUGCAUGGUUGUCGUCAGCUCGUGUCGUGAGAUGUUGGGUUAAGUCCCGCAACGAGCGCAACCCUCGUUCCAUGUUGCCAGCGCGUAAUGGCGGGGACUCAUGGGAGACUGCCGGGGUCAACUCGGAGGAAGGUGGGGACGACGUCAAAUCAUCAUGCCCCUUAUGUCUUGGGCUUCACGCAUGCUACAAUGGCCGGUACAAAGGGUUGCGAUACUGUGAGGUGGAGCUAAUCCCAAAAAGCCGGUCUCAGUUCGGAUUGGGGUCUGCAACUCGACCCCAUGAAGUCGGAGUCGCUAGUAAUCGCAGAUCAGCAACGCUGCGGUGAAUACGUUCCCGGGCCUUGUACACACCGCCCGUCAAGUCACGAAAGUUGGUAACACCCGAAGCCGGUGGCCUAACCCCUUGUGGGAGGGAGCUGUCGAAGGUGGGACUGGCGAUUGG